GAACUGGAGGGGAUAAAGAUCGUCAAGUAGUUGCUAUAAUUCCCUUCCAAUUGUCUUUUGCAUACUUCAUGAAGGCAGCGAUCUCUCCUGGUUUAUCGAUGUACGUAUUGUUAUCGAAAUCAUAAGUUGUCAUGGCACCCCUAGCUUUGAUACUGGUGAACCAUUUGCCGUGUUUCUUGAGGAAGUUUUUGAUCUCAUCCCUACUUAUACGAUCGUCACCGUUGGUGUCGAAUUGUUUGAGAAACCGUUCAAUCUCCUUCUGGUCCACUGGGGAAGGGCAGUUAAGCAUGUUUGCUUGCUUGGUUGGUGGGUUUUGGUUGAA